UUUUCCUUCCUGAGAUAUGACAAUGGCAUUGUCCCAGUCUUCCUCACAACCCUGCGCUCUCUGUAAACUCCAUGAGUUCAGCUGCUGCACUGAAUCCUGACUAUCCAGCAUUUCAUCAACAUCAGCAGCAUUUUGUGCUGCCUUUUUACUAAGUAUCUCACUCCCUAAGUCACAUAUUUUCAGAUCCAAACCAUUCCCAGUGUCUGAAGUUGGCAUAGAUGUGUCUGUGUCUUCUAUACGGACACUGCUCACUGUUUCUACAUUUUCAGCUGCAGUCUGUCCAGUAUUUAAUUCGUUCUGUGGUGGUGAUAAGUCAUUCACGGUCUGAUUGUAUACCGGUGUUACCCUUUUGUUUUCAGAUACAGGAAAAUUAUUUUCACUGGUAUGUAUGUCAGUUGAAAAACACUGAUUAGCUGUUUGUUCUGAAUUAAGAAAAGAUUUAGCAGAGGCAGAAAGAGCAGCAAUUUCAGAAUUUCGUUCUUGUAACUGGGUGACAUUAUUUAGGGGAGUGUUCCAGAUGUCCGUGUUUUCACUGCUUGAAAAAGGCAUGUUUCUGGGACAUAAUGGUUCCUUAUUUCCUUUCUCAAGUACUUCUGACUCAGUCAAAUUUGGGCUUACCAAUUUACCAAUAACUGUUUCUUUGUCAAAAUCUUUGUCCUCAUUUUCUCUUUCAUCUUCCACAUACGUAGGUGAUACAUAUGAAUCAGAUGUUGAGUAAUUGGUGUCUGGUGGAGAAACAACUAUAUCUUCACCUAUGUUUGAUGAACGAAGAUCUGAGUGUUUAUACAAGAAGUUAUCCGCCCAUGGCACUACCACUCCUGUUACUUCCUUCCUGAUGUUUUUAUCAUACAUAUUCCAGGUGUCUAUAUUUUCAAAUUGUUUUGGUCUAUGUUUAGGGUCACCAAAAACAGCUUUUUCCUCUGUUUGCAGCUUGGAAUUAUUUUGCAGAUUGUUGAAAACAGAAUUUGUAUUUUCAGGUUUUCCAUAUUCUUCUACUGAAUAGUAUCUUUCUUUAUCCCAGGCUUCUGGAGAUAUCUGGAUAGGUGGAUUUUCAGUCUCAUUGUCCACUGUGAUUUCUGAAGAAUCUGAUAAAGUAGUUUUUGAUAGGGCCCAUUCCUCAGGAAUAUUCACUGAUUUUUCUUCUCUAUCCAUUUUGGGCAUGUUCCAUAAGUUUUCUGAGGCUCUAGCAAUACCUCCUGCACCAAACUUAGCCCAGGCUUCGUAAGAGUCUCCAGCUAGCUGACUACUUUUCCCUCCACCACUACACCAUGCAUCUGACAUCACAGGUGUUGGCUGACUCACCUUCCAUGGGAAGGUAAAGCUCUCUGGUUCUUGCUUUGUCUCC
rnacentral:lncRNA from 1 species